UUCCUGCACCUCUUUUACUUCGUCCUGCACCUUCCAAUUUUACUUUAAUACCAUCUGUACCCCUAGCAUUUAUAAAUUUAUUUCUGUCAAUCUAUUAAUUGAUUUUUUAAAAAGUAAAAUUACUCUGCCGCAUCUCACAGCAAAACAAACCCUACACCCUUUCUUCUUUCUCCCUUUGCCCAUCUUCCUCUCCUCCCCUUCUCCCUAUUUUUUACCAUUUUUGAAAGUGUAGCUGCUUUUCCUCCUCUCUCUCUCUGUUGGCGUUCGUUUGUGGAGUGUGUUGUUAGCAUAGUUGGGUAGUAGAUCUUCUUCUCAGAGAUUGUAUAUCAAGUUUUUCUGGCAUCCAGAACUAGAGGCACAUCAUCUUACCAUGGUGAGAUUUCAUCGUCUCGUGGUCAACCAUCAUCUUCAUCACAUGAUGAAAGGAGACAACCUACAGUAUCUGCUCGUAGAAGACGCGUAGAGGAAUAUCGCACGGACGACAUUGAUGAGCAUGAUUAUGAGGACCAGGAGGAGUUUAUAUAGUAGGGACAUUGUGAGGAGGACUAUGUUCAGCAUGAGGAUGUUCAAGAGUAGGAUGACUAUAGAGAGGAAGAAGAUGAAGAUGAAGAUGAAGAUGGAGAUGAAGUUAAAGAUGAUGGAUUUCCAGGAGGUCCAUGUGACACCUCCUUGCUUACACAUUAUUCCCAACAUGUUUCAUUUGCCAUAUGGCAAGGCUAGGAUCGAGGGGAGAUUCAAGUGAGGACCCAUGGUAAAAAAUUAAAAAUUUUGGAAUGUAUAACGAGGCUAUUGAGCCUUUUAUAUCCAUGUCGGGGUUGACUUCCUUAGUCAACCUAUCCUAUGAGUAUGCUGAUCAUGGAUUGAUCGUUUCACUUGCGGAAAGGUGACACCUAGAGACAAAUACUUUCCACCUCCCGGUAGGUAUUGGCUGCAAAACCAACGACAAGUGCACCAGUCGCAGCGUAGCAAGUGAUAAAUAUCGUUCUCUCCCAAGGGACUUA